rnacentral:rRNA from 1 species
AACGAACGCUGGCGGCAGGCCUAACACAUGCAAGUCGAGCGCACCUUCGGGGUGAGCGGCGGACGGGUUAGUAACGCGUGGGAACGAUACCCUUUCGGUACGGAAUAGCCUCUGGAAACGGAGAGUAAUACCGUAUGAGCCCUUCGGGGGAAAGGAUUUAUCGCCAAAGGAUUGGCCCGCGUUAGAUUAGAUAGUUGGUGGGGGUAAUGGCCUACCAAGUCUACGAUCUAUAGCUGGUUUUAGAGGAUGAUCAGCAACACUGGGACUGAGACACGGCCCAGACUCCUACGGGAGGCAGCAGUGGGGAAUCUUGGACAAUGGGGGCAACCCUGAUCCAGCCAUGCCGCGUGAGUGAUGAAGGGCCUUAGGGUCGUAAAGCUCUUUCGCCUGUGAAGAUAAUGCGGUAGCAGGUAAAGAAACCCCGGCUAACUCCGUGCCAGCAGCCGCGGUA